GACGAACGCUGGCGGCGUGCUUAACACAUGCAAGUCGAACGGAAAGGCCCUGCUUUUGUGGGUUGCUCGAGUGGCGAACGGGUGAGUAACACGUGAGUAACCUGCCCUUGACUUUGGGAUAACUUCAGGAAACUGGGGCUAAUACCGGAUAGGAGCUCCUGCUGCAUGGUGGGGGUUGGAAAGUUUCGGCGGUUGGGGAUGGACUCGCGGCUUAUCAGCUUGUUGGUGGGGUAGUGGCUUACCAAGGCUUUGACGGGUAGCCGGCCUGAGAGGGUGACCGGCCACCUUGGGACUGAGGUACGGCCCAGACUCCUACGGGAGGCAGCAGUGGGGAAUAUUGCACAAUGGGCGGAAGCCUGAUGCAGCAACGCCGCGUGCGGGAUGACGGCCUUCGGGUUGUAAACCGCUUUCGCCUGUGACGAAGCGUGAGUGACGGUAAUGGGUAAAGAAGCACCGGCUAACUACGUG
rnacentral:rRNA from 1 species